CACUCCGGAAUUAUCACAGCUGGAUUUUCCCCUUUCCUCGCACUUUUAUAUGUCUGCCUUUUUAGGAGGAUGGAAUGGCCCUGCCUAGGAUGUGACACUGGUUAUGACAUCUCAGCACUUGGGGUGUCUGGUGGCAGCUCAGUGCUUUCAAUGUGCAGGAUCGUGAAGAGGAAUUGCUGGGAUGAAAAACGAGUUUGGUGGGCCCCAGCUGUGGUGGAACACAAGAAGGGAAUGAGCUGGUUCUUGGUUUUGGUGGGGAAUUUAGAAAGGCCUCCAAAAUGGGACAAGAACCUCCAGAGCUCAGAGCCUGAGGCAUUGUCACCUCUGGGAGUUACUGAAGGAUUUUCUUCCUUAUGUCCUGCUGAACUGUCAUGGCAAGAGGACCUUGAAGAUGAAGUCAAGCAUGAGUUUAACUGCACCCAUUUUGGCAGCCCUAGAGGUGCCUUUAGUGCUGUUCUUCAAGUUGCUCCAAUAUUUUCUUCUGUGUCACCAAAGAGAGUCCUGCAAAGGAGAAAGGGAGUUUGCCAGCCUGUUAACCUGGGGUACACAGAGGAAAUGAAAUGCACAAUUUUCCCAGUGUACCUGACUCUCUCCCUGGUGCAGGAAAUCUGUCCCAGCCUUGAGUCACUGAAAUAUGCAGAGCAUCUCCAAGAGUCCUGAGGUCUGUGCUGUAGGACACCCCUGUGAAGAGAAGCUACCAAAGGUCUAAAAGUGCUGAAAUCUGACUGAACCCACACAGGAAGGGGAAGUAAAAGUGAAAAAGGGUUUGAAACAGUUAACAGUGACAGUAGAAAAAAAAAAAAAAAAAAAAAAGAAGUUUCCAGUUUUUCCCCUUAUAAUUUUAAAUCCCAGAAUGAUGGCAUGGCCAUGUAUUUCCUGGGGCUGUUGCAGUCCUUGAGAGCUCUUUCAGCUCAUGUGGGCAAAGGGGACAUGAGGGCUGUGGAAAAAGGGAUUAUUUAUGUGGGUAUCACUGUGAGCAUCCCAUUUCCUUGGGAAGCUCUGUGAAAGGGCAGGGCUUGCAUUUACUUAUUUUUUCUUUUUUUUAAAAAGUAAAGCUUCCUGCUCUUACCCCAGAGCCUGAAUCUCUGCAAACUGAGGCCCAGAGUUCAUUUGCCAUGUGUGUGGUGUCUUUGUGCUCUCCAGUAACACCUGAGUGUUUGGAUACUGUCUUUGGGGAGGGAUUUUCCAUUCAGUGAUGAGGAUCCUCAGUUUCCCACUGUUUUGUUCCUGCUUCAUUGCCUUGAUCAGCUGAGCUCUUUUUGAGACAAGGCUUGACCCCACACCAGGGAUGUCUUGGCAGGGCCUGGCUGGGACCCAGCUGGCAGAUCAGAGAGCAACUCUGGGCUCCCUCAGGAUCCACCACAGGGAUGUGCCAAGUAAAUCUUAGCAGAGAAAAUGACCCCUGGUAUGGGCUUUGCUCGUGCCAGCUGAAACACAGCCUUGAAGCUGCUUGCUUCUUGUUUGCCCAACAGCCCUCACAAAGCUGGGGGAUGCCAUAAGAAAAGCUGGAAAAUUGCAGUACUUCAUCUUCUACCCAUUUCUGAGCCUGAGCAUCCAAGGAAAGGCACAAGUGAUUGGUUUCUGCAGGGCCAGGCAGUGGACACAGGUUUUUACUUGUGCCUAAAUGGCAUGGAAAUCAUGGCAUGGAGGUUUGUCCCUG
ensembl:lncRNA